UGCCUACGGGACGCAGCAGUAAGGGAUAUUGGUCAAUGGGGGAAACCCUGAACCAGCAACGCCGCGUGAGGGAAGACGGUUUUCGGAUUGUAAACCUCUGUCCUCUGUGAAGAUGAUGACGGUAGCAGAGGAGGAAGCUCCGGCUAAAUACGUGCCAGCAGCCGCGGUAAUACGUAUGGUGCAAGCGUUAUCCGGAUUUACUGGGUGUAAAGGGAGCGCAGGCGGCGCGUUAAGCCUGGUGUGAAAGCCCGCGGCCCAACCGCGGGACUGCAUUGGGAACUGGCGCGCUGGAGUGCCGGAGGGGG
rnacentral:rRNA from 1 species